rnacentral:rRNA from 1 species
UACGUAGGGUGCAAGCGUUAAUCGGAAUUACUGGGCGUAAAGCGUGCGCAGGCGGUGAUGUAAGACCGAUGUGAAAUCCCCGGGCUUAACCUGGGAACUGCAUUGGUGACUGCAUUGCUGGAGUAUGGCAGAGGGGGGUGGAAUUCCACGUGUAGCAGUGAAAUGCGUAGAGAUGUGGAGGAACACCGAUGGCGAAGGCAGCCCCCUGGGCCAAUACUGACGCUCAUGCACGAAAGCGUGGGGAGCAAACAGG